UCUGGUAUGGGGGAACUACUUACCAACAUGGUUUUUCUAUGCCAACAAGAAGGAAAUAUCCGUCGGAUUCACGGUGAGGCAGUGUGGAGACCUGCCGUAGUGUAUCUGGAAUUUGCUUUCCGGUUGUAAGAACGCAUGCGAAAUGGUAGGUGCGUUUAGAGCCAGAAAUAAUGGCA
rnacentral:ncRNA from 1 species